rnacentral:rRNA from 2 species
GCCGAGCGGUAUUUCUUCUUCGGAAGAGAGAGAGCGGCGUACGGGUGCGUAACACGUGUGCAACCUACCUUUAUCUGGGGGAUAGCCUUUCGAAAGGAAGAUUAAUACCCCAUAAUAUAAUGAUUGGCAUCAAUUAUUAUUGAAAACUCCGGUGGAUAGAGAUGGGCACGCGCAAGAUUAGAUAGUUGGUGAGGUAACGGCUCACCAAGUCUGUGAUCUUUAGGGGUCCUGAGAGGGAGAUCCCCCACACUGGUACUGAGACACGGACCAGACUCCUACGGGAGGCAGCAGUGAGGAAUAUUGGACAAUGGGUGAAAGCCUGAUCCAGCCAUCCCGCGUGAAGGAUGACGGUCCUAUGGAUUGUAAACUUCUUUUGUACAGGGAUAAACCUACUCUCGUGAGGGUAGCUGAAGGUACUGUACGAAUAAGCACCGGCUAACUCCGUGCCAGCAGCCGCGGUAAUACGGAGGGUGCAAGCGUUAUCCGGAUUUAUUGGGUUUAAAGGGUCCGUAGGCGGACCCGUA